rnacentral:rRNA from 1 species
UACAGAGGGUGCAAGCGUUAAUCGGAAUUACUGGGCGUAAAGCGCACGUAGGUGGCUUGAUAAGUUGGGUGUGAAAUCCCCGGGCUUAACCUGGGAAUGGCCAUGGAAACUGGCGAACUGGAGUGUGGCAGAGGGGGGUGGAAUUCCGCGUGUAGCAGUGAAAUGCGUAGAGAUGCGGAGGAACACCGAUGGCGAAGGCAGCCCCCUGGGCUAGCACUGACGCUCAGGCACGAAAGCGUGGGGAGCAAACAGG